GGAUGAACGCUGGCGGCGUGCCUAAUACAUGCAAGUCGAGCGAACGGACGAGAAGCUUGCUUCUCUGAUGUUAGCGGCGGACGGGUGAGUAACACGUGGAUAACCUACCUAUAAGACUGGGAUAACUUCGGGAAACCGGAGCUAAUACCGGAUAAUAUUUUGAACCGCAUGGUUCAAAAGUGAAAGACGGUCUUGCUGUCACUUAUAGAUGGAUCCGCGCUGCAUUAGCUAGUUGGUAAGGUAACGGCUUACCAAGGCAACGAUGCAUAGCCGACCUGAGAGGGUGAUCGGCCACACUGGAACUGAGACACGGUCCAGACUCCUACGGGAGGCAGCAGUAGGGAAUCUUCCGCAAUGGGCGCAAGCCUGACGGAGCAACGCCGCGUGAGUGAUGAAGGUCUUCGGAUCGUAAAACUCUGUUAUUAGGGAAGAACAUAUGUGUAAGUAACUGUGCACAUCUUGACGGUACCUAAUCAGAAAGCCACGGCUAACUACGUG
rnacentral:rRNA from 1 species